rnacentral:rRNA from 1 species
UACGUAGGGUGCGAGCGUUGUCCGGAAUUAUUGGGCGUAAAGAGCUUGUAGGCGGUUUGUCGCGUCUGCCGUGAAAAUUCGAGGCUCAACCUCGAACUUGCGGUGGGUACGGGCAGACUAGAGUGUGGUAGGGGAGACUGGAAUUCCUGGUGUAGCGGUGAAAUGCGCAGAUAUCAGGAGGAACACCGAUGGCGAAGGCAGCCGCCUGGGCCGACAUUGACGCUCAGGCACGAAAGCGUGGGGAGCAAACAGG